GCAACCCCUCGAGAGUGGCGAACGGGUGAGUAAUAUAUCGGAACGUGCCCAGUCGUGGGGAAUAACGUAGCGAAAGUUACGCUAAUACCGCAUACGAUCUAAGGAUGAAAGCGGGGGAUCGCAAGACCUCGCGCGAUUGGAGCGGCCGAUAUCAGAUUAGGUAGUUGGUGGGGUAAAGGCUCACCAAGCCAACGAUCUGUAGCUGGUCUGAGAGGACGACCAGCCACACUGGAACUGAGACACGGUCCAGACUCCUACGGGAGGCAGCAGUGGGGAAUUUUGGACAAUGGACGCAAGUCUGAUCCAGCCAUUCCGCGUGCAGGAUGAAGGCCCUCGGGUUGUAAACUGCUUUUGUACGGAACGAAAAGGUUUCUAUUAAUACUAGGAGCUCAUGACGGUACCGUAAGAAUAAGCACCGGCUAACUACGUGCCAGCAGCCGCGGUAAUACGUAGGGUGCAAGCGUUAAUCGGAAUUACUGGGCGUAAAGCGUGCGCAGGCGGUUAUAUAAGACAGAUGUGAAAUCCCCGGGCUCAACCUGGGAACUGCAUUUGUGACUGUAUAGCUAGAGUACGGUAGAGGGGGAUGGAAUUCCGCGUGUAGCAGUGAAAUGCGUAGAUAUGCGGAGGAACACCGAUGGCGAAGGCAAUCCCCUGGACCUGUACUGACGCUCAUGCACGAAAGCGUGGGGAGCAAACAGGA
rnacentral:rRNA from 1 species